rnacentral:rRNA from 1 species
UACGUAGGGUGCGAGCGUUGUCCGGAAUUACUGGGCGUAAAGAGCUCGUAGGUGGUUUGUCGCGUUGUCCGUGAAAACUCACAACUCAAUUGUGGGCGUGCGGGCGAUACGGGCAGACUGGAGUACUGCAGGGGAGACUGGAAUUCCUGGUGUAGCGGUGAAAUGCGCAGAUAUCAGGAGGAACACCGGUGGCGAAGGCGGGUCUCUGGGCCGAUACUGACACUGAGGAGCGAAAGCGUGGGGAGCGAACAGG